rnacentral:lncRNA from 1 species
AGCCUCUGAGUUCUCAGAACCUCUGGGGCGGGGCCUGGGAAGGGCAACAAUUUGACAACACAGAUGCCCUCUCCGGGACUCUUGAUCAUGCUUAGAUCCAGGAGCCCCAGUCUGCUCCUCUGCAUGGUUCUGUGGCUCAGCCAGCCGGGGACUGCCCCUUUGCUUCAGGCUCCCCACCACUAAGACUAUGUAGGCGAGAGAAACAAAGGGGAAGUGGAGGCGGCGUCUCUCAGCCCUUUCCCUGAAGGCUCCCACUGAGUUUGCUCCUUCUGAAGUCGGUCCUGGCUGCCCUCCCGAUGCUCAGCGCUCACCCACACCGGCCUUCCUCUUCAACAACGCCUGCCAGAAGACUCAUUACUCUGCUUCUAAUAUGUGACUGGCCAGGGGCCAGGAUCUGGCUACCAACUGACUGAUUAACCGCUUAGCCAGAGCGACGGCUUCCCCGUCCACAAGCAGCAGCUAGCAGCUCCUCUCUGCCCCGUGGGUUGCAAAGGAGCCUCCUGGCCCGUCUUGAUCUGGGCAUGGCUAGGGGCUGCUCUGGCUGUGGGCUUCAAAGUCUUCUUGGCUCCAUUCUCUGAGUGUCACCACUUUCCUACUUGUUCUUUCCCUUCCUCUUCUUUCUCUAUUCAUCUUCAAUUCCUUCUAUUGUUAUUUCUCCCCAUCCCACCCGUCAAUCCAUUGUUCACAUCUAUACAUAGACACACUUCAUAUCACACAGCUCUAAAAUAUCCUCUUUAACCCCGUGUUCUCUUCUAGCUAUUGCUCUAGUUUUCUCUCUCUCAUCAAUAAAACUUCUUGGAACAAUUGUCUUCACAUAUUAUUUUCCAUUCCUAUCUUCCAUUUGUUUUUUUACGUACUACAACUUGCCUUCUAUCCACACUGCUCCACCCAAACUGCCCUUAGAAAGGACCCCAUGCCCGCCAUGUUGUUAAUCCAAUACUCAUUUCAGUCUUUAUGUACUUGACUUCUCAGCAGAAUUUGAUAGAGACACCUUCUCGGUCCUGAAACGGUCUCAUCGCUUGUCUCCUGUGGCAUCCCAGACUUUCUUUUCUCCCUAGCUCCUUCUUGGCUGCUUUUGUCAGCUUCCCCUCUUCUAUUUGACCCAUAAAUGUGGCAAUUUAUCUGCACUCAGCUCUGACCCUCUUUUCGUUUCUCCCUGCCUUCUCUUCCUAAAAUUUAGAGCCCAAAUGAUAUCAUUAUAGAGAAAUGAAGUUGCUUUUUCAAGAAAAUCUCUGUAGGGACUGAGAUUCAUCCCUAAAGAAAAAGCAAACAUAAAUCUUAAUUUCAAACUGUGAUAACUGCUUUGAAGGAAAAAUUUAAAUAGAGAGUCUAAUGGAGAGCCUAAUUCACACUGAUUUUUACUGGGGGAGGGGAAGGGUAGGCCUCUCUUAGGAAGUGACAUUUAAGCUGAGACCUGAAGGAUGACG